UAUUUUAGGUUCGGGAUACAUGCACAGGUUUGUUUUAUAGAUAAAUUGCUUGUCAUGUGGGUUUGUUGUACAAAUUAUUUUGUCACCCAGAUAGUAAGCAUAGUACUUGACAGGUAUUUUUUCUGAUCCUCUCCCUCCUCCCACCCUCUAGCCUCAAGUAGGUCCCAGUGUCUGUUGUUCUCUUCUUUGUGUCCAUGUGUUCUCAAUGUUUAGCUCCCACUUACAAGUCAGAACAUGCAGUAUUUGGUUUUCUCUUCCGCAUUAGUUCACUUAGGAUAAAGGCCUCCAGCUCCAUCCAUGUUGCUACAAAGGACAUGAUCUCUUUCUUUUUUAUGGCUGCAUAGUAGUCCAUGGUGUAUAUGUACCGUAUUUUCUUCAGUCUACUGGUGAUGGGCAUUUAGGUUGAUGCCAUGUCUUUACGAUUGUGAAUAGUGCUGCAGUGAACAUACAUGUACAUAUAUCUUUAUGGUAGAAUGAUUUAUAUUCUUUUGGGUAUAGACCCAAUACUGGGAUUGUUGGGUCGAAUGGUAAUUCUGUUUUAAGUUCUUUGAGAAAUCGCCACACUGCUUUCCGCGGUUACUGAACUAAUUUACAUUCCCACCAGCAUUGUAUAAGCAUUCCCUUUUCUCCACAACCUCACCAGAAACCAGCAUCUGUUAUUUCUUGACUUUUAUUAAUAGCCAUUCUGACUGGUGUGAGAUGAUAUCUCAUUGUAGUUUUGAUUUGGGUUUCUCUAGUGAUUAGUGAUGUUGAGUAUUUUAUAUGCUUGUUGGCCAUGUAGCUUCUUUUGGCUAGGGACCUGUGAGUCUCCCUAGGUUUCUUGCACUUACUAAGCCUUCAACAAAUGGUAGAAGAGUCAAUUCUCUUGGUGUUUCAGAAGAAAACAAUAUCACAGCCCCUCUCCACUGGAUAAUACUAUAAAUCUUAAAAUGAAUUUUCAUUCAGAGUAAUAAACACAAGCCAAAGAACUUUGUAUAACAUCCGUCAACUUUUUGUGUUAUCUAUUUCUUUUCCAAAACAUUGCCUCUGGUUUUAAAGGUAACUGCCCACAGUGUUUCACUAAUAACAUUUUAAGCAUUACAAGUUCAACACUGAAGGUCAAAUGACAACGAACUUUCAGUGCUUCCAAAAGCAGGGGCAGAGGGCAACUGCUGAGGGGGGCAUUGUAUAGCCUAACCUUCCCAGAAUUUGAUUUAAAAGUAUGAUCUUCACAGCGUUGGCCAGCAAUAUCAUGGUCACUCCCUACGUCAUUCCCUGGGAGAAAAACAACCCUAGGUUACCUAAACAAUGUUGGCGAAGACCAAAUAUUUAUUAACAUCCUAAGCCGCCCCAUAAUCAAGCCAAUGCUGAUAGGGACAAAGAAGGUGCCAUGUGCAGUUUUUCUCCAUGUCCCCACAAUAUCUGCUCUGAAUUUUAAAAGGCAAUUACUGGGGGAGAAGGAAGCCUAUAUAUUAUGUAGGAUCCAAGUCUCAAACUGCUUUCCUAGGGAGUGUGAGGUUCUUGGAGAUUAAGUGCAGUACCUUUCUGUCUUGAGCCUUGUAGGCUGCCCCUCUAAUUUAAUGCCAGUCUUGAAAUAAACAGAAUGCUUUCCAAGUCAUCGCUAAUUUUAACACUUUAAAUUUAGAAUUGCUUAGAAUUGACUCAACACUGCCUCCUUGCUGAAUGGAUAAUUCAAGCAAACAACUCAAGAGCUGGAUGCUGCCCAGACAGAAGUCCUCCUAGCAUCUUUCUUCUGCCUUCCCCUGCUCCUGUCCCUGAAACCUUUUCUUCAAAAGAAGUGGAAAAGAGGAACUGGGAACCCAUAUAGCAACAGCAUCACCUGGAAUGAAUUCCUUUAGAACAUACUGUCUUGGAAAUCUGAAGCCUGCAGGGCUGGACAGGCAAGAAGAGCAGUGAGCACUGCAUGAACCUGCAUGUACUCCGAAAUAUUUUUCAAAUGGAAAAGAAAACAGAGAACACAAUUUUCAAAAUAUCUAGAGCCCUCCAAGAAGUCUUUGUAGAGAUCUAUAAAAUCUCAAGGCAAUUUAAAGAAUAGAAAAAUGUUUUAGAAACACUAUUCUCUCCACAUCCUGGGGCAGCAGCCUUCUCCAAAGAAACAGAAAGAAGGAAAUGGAUUGCCUUAGCAAAAAAACAAAUGAAGACACUCCAAAUAACAGAAGAAUGGGAAGGCUACAGACCUUGAAGUCAGAAGAAAAUUUCCUCUCCUUGCCCCGUUUCUCCUUAAAUGGAUCACCAGUACAGUCUCUUACUUCUAGAGCCAUGUUAAGCUUUCUUCCCCAAAGUUGUAAUGUCCUUCUUUUGGUUGUGUCGUGUCCUAAAAUCCUACUCUUUGGUACAAGAUGAAGGUAUAUGAAGAGAUAAUGAAGGAAACAAAUUCAAUGUGUUUGCCAAGAACACAGUCUUUUAAAUAACUCUUAAAGGGUUCGUUUAAAACAGUGUAAUAAAUUGUGGUAAUCUAGUACACAAAGCUAGUAGGAACCUCGUUUAUUAAUAAUAUUUCAACAUUGAGCAGUAGAGGGCAGCACUAUCCUUCUUUUGCAAAAUGUUGAGCACUCUUGAGAAGGAAAAUAAAGGCAAAGCUCCUGACCCCUGUGUCUGUGUUUACUUUUACCAUUAAAAAAAAACAAAAAAUUGGAGUAUUUUUAUUAUGGUUUAGGUGAUUAUGUAUAAAGAAUGUCAGAGCCUGCAUUACCUGGAAGUGGUGCACCAGGUAAUGCAAAAAACACGGAAGGUUUGAGGUCCCCCACUCAGGAUAUGGGUUCUGUCUAGUAAAGAUAAACAGUAGCUUGACCCUGGGUAAUCAGAUAGGGUUAUUGUAUGAACAGACCUAAUGCUCCUGCACGUUCUGGAUAGAAGUCAAUCUACUGAAAUAGCAGGAUGUAGUUUUAAAAAAUGUGUGUAACUCAUAUAGUCUUAGCCCUGAUAAGUGCUUCUAAAUUCUUAUUCACUGCCUUUAUUCUGCUGUGUUAGUGUUGCUCUCUGUCAUACGUGGGUCAGGUCAGAACUAGCUCAAAUACAGUAUGUGUAUUAUGACUUUAAGGAGUGGUGUCAGACAAGAUGGGUAAAGAAUGUCUUUCAUGGGACUGCAGUUGGCUAAAUGGCUGUGUAUAAGUAGUGAAAUUGAAGCCUUGUAUGCUCGUCGUCAUUCUAUCACAGUAUGAUUUGAGUUUCCCUAACCGGUAAACAGCAAGAAAAAAUGAUCUGUUAUUUUUUACUAAAGUUACUUGAUGCUCUUUAGCAAGCUGACAGAAUAAUUCUAAUUUUAGCAAAUACAAAACCAUGGUAAUCCUAGCACAUUUGGAUUCUGUUUAACCCUGAAAACUCUUUUGGCAGCAAAUCUUCAAUGCCAAUUUAGAUAAAUCCCACUAGGAAUAAGCACUGAAAGACGUUGAGUCUAGUUCCCAGCUCUGCCAUGUGAAGUUGGGCAAAUUACAGUCUCUGAGCUUUUAUUUCAUCUGUUAAAUGGAGAUAAUACCUCCUAGAUUUAUUAAAAGGGUCAAUUUAGAAAAUAUGUAUUAAAAUGGUUUGAAAGCCAUUUAAGUACCUAAUGAAUAUUUCUAUCACUGUAGCCCAAAAAGAUUCCUGCCUAGAAGACUUUAUGUCUCUUCUCCUCAUUUGGUAUCAUUCUAUUGCCUGAGAUUGUUAAUUAACUUUUAUGUAUACUCAAUAUUUUCUCCCAACUUGGUUGCUAGUUCCUUGAGAACUGAAACCAUCAAUUGCACUUCUUGGUAUCCUCCACAAUAAGGUAUCUAGGUACUCAAAUAUUUGUUGGUUGAUUAAAAACAUAAACCACAAGACAUAAUUAACUCUUUUUAAAAUUGUGGUAAAAAAACAUGUAUUUACCAUCUUAAUCAUUUUUAAGUAUACUGUAUAUUAGUGUUUACUAUAUGCACAUUGUUGUGCAACACAUCUCUAGGACUUUUUCAUCCAGAAUUCUUUUUUUUUGAGACAGAGUCUUGCUGUGUCGCCCAAGCUGGAGUUCAGUGGCACCAUCCUGGCUCACUGCAACUGCUGCCUCCCAGGUUCAAGUGAUUCUCCUGCCUCAGCCUCCCGAGUAGCUGGGAUUACAUGUGCCUGCCACCACGCCUGGCAAGUUUUUGUAUUUUUAGUAGAAAUGGUGUUUUACCAUGUUGGCCAAGACUGGCCUAGAACUCCAGACCUCAAGUGAUCCACCCGCCUCAGCAGCCCAAAGUGGUGGGAUUACAGGCAUGAGCAACUGUGCCUGGCCUAGCCAUUUUCUAUAAACCUGAAAAUAGAUGCCAGAAAAGAAGGUGCCGCUAUAAAAUGCUUUCUUGAGUGAUUUAUGUCUAACAUACAAUUAAACAUUUAUGAGAAGGAAAUUAUCAGGUUAAAAUAUAAACUCACUUGCCAAUUAUUUGAUUUUCAGGAUAUCUGACUUUUGUUAAUUACUGAAAAUAAAGUAUUAUUUCUAAUCACUA
rnacentral:lncRNA from 1 species